rnacentral:rRNA from 1 species
AGUACGGCGGAACACGAGAAAUUCCGUCGGAAUCCGCGGGGACCAUCCCGCAAGGCUAAAUACUCCCUAGUGACCGAUAGUGAACCAGUACCGUGAGGGAAAGGUGAAAAGCACCCCGGAAGGGGAGUGAAAUAGAUCCUGAAACCGUGUGCCUACAACAAGUCAAAGCUCGUUAAUGAGUGAUGGCGUGCCUUUUGUAGAAUGAACCGGCGAGUUACGAUUGCAUGCGAGGUUAAGUCGAAGAGACGGAGCCGCAGCGAAAGCGAGUCUGAAUAGGGCGAAUGAGUAUGUAGUCGUAGACCCGAAACCAUGUGAUCUACCCAUGUCCAGGUUGAAGGUGCGGUAAAACGCACUGGAGGACCGAACCCACGUACGUUGAAAAGUGCGGGGAUGAGGUGUGGGUAGCGGAGAAAUUCCAAACGAACUUGGAGAUAGCUGGUUCUCUCCGAAAUAGCUUUAGGGCUAGCCUCGGAAUUGAGAAUGAUGGAGGUAGAGCACUGUUUGGACUAGGGGCCCAUCUCGGGUUACCGAAUUCAGAUAAACUCCGAAUGCCAUUCAUUUAUAUCCGGGAGUCAGACUGCGAGUGAUAAGAUCCGUAGUCGAAAGGGAAACAGCCCAGACCACCAGCUAAGGUCCCAAAAUAUAUGUUAAGUGGAAAAGGAUGUGGGGUUGCACAGACAACUAGGAUGUUGGCUUAGAAGCAGCCACCAUUUAAAGAGUGCGUAAUAGCUCACUAGUCGAGUGACCCUGCGCCGAAAAUGUACCGGGGCUAAACAUAUUACCGAAGCUGUGGACUACACCAUUAGGUGUAGUGGUAGGAGAGCGUUCUAAGGGCGUUGAAGGUCGAUCGUGAGGACGGCUGGAGCGCUUAGAAGUGAGAAUGCCGGUAUGAGUAGCGAAAGACAGGUGAGAAUCCUGUCCACCGUAUGACUAAGGUUUCCUGGGGAAGGCUCGUCCGCCCAGGGUUAGUCGGGACCUAAGCCGAGGCCGAUAGGCGUAGGCGAUGGACAACAGGUUGAUAUUCCUGUACCAGUUGUUUUUGUUUGAGCAAUGGAGGGACGCAGUAGGCUAAGGAAUGCAUGCGAUUGGAAGUGCAUGUCCAAGCAAUGAGUCUUGAGUAGAGUUAAAUGCUUUACUCUUUAAGGACAAGUUGUGACGGGGAGCGAAAUAAUAGUAGCGAAGUUCCUGAUGUCACACUGCCAAGAAAAGCUUCUAGUGAGAAAACAACUGCCCGUACCGUAAACCGACACAGGUAGUCGAGGAGAGUAUCCUAAGGUGAGCGAGCGAACUCUCGUUAAGGAACUCGGCAAAAUGACCCCGUAACUUCGGGAGAAGGGGUGCUGACUUCGGUCAGCCGCAGUGAAUAGGCCCAAGCGACUGUUUAUCAAAAACACAGGUCUCUGCAAAAUCGUAAGAUGAAGUAUAGGGGCUGACGCCUGCCCGGUGCUGGAAGGUUAAGAGGAUGGGUUAGCUUCGGCGAAGCUCAGAAUUGAAGCCCCAGUAAACGGCGGCCGUAACUAUAACGGUCCUAAGGUAGCGAAAUUCCUUGUCGGGUAAGUUCCGACCCGCACGAAAGGCGUAACGAUUUGGGCACUGUCUCAACGAGAGACUCGGUGAAAUUUUAGUACCUGUGAAGAUGCAGGUUACCCGCGACAGGACGGAAAGACCCCAUGGAGCUUUACUGUAGUUUGAUAUUGAGUGUUUGUACCACAUGUACAGGAUAGGUAGGAGCCGAUGAGACCGGA